UUGUCUCAGGUGUCUGGAAAAUUUUAAAUAUGCUUUUGAAAUGGCUCAUGGAAUUAAUGGUGACAGCGAACAUGACAGGCAGUUGGUUUAAAUUAAAGUGCUAUUGAUCAACAAUCAAGUGAUGAUCAGUACCAUAAAUAUUUUCCCUUUCUUAAACCCUCGUUCUUCCCCCCCUAAAUUCCGAGACCAUUUGGUUCCUGCAAUUUAAGUCUAAAUUCUUAGGUCCAUGUGUGAAAGAUAAAAUGAAUGUCAAUUGCUAUUGGAAAAAAUCAGGAAUUGAAUGAGAUUUGCAAGACCUAGUUUCUUAAGCGGAAAUUGAGCCCUAUUUUGUGGGAAAUUAGUUUUGCAGACUUUCUAAAAAAAAAAAAAAAUCUAAAACUUUUGUUCAGCAGCUGCUCCACUUUUCCCUGCAGUUUCAGAGUGAGCUGGAACCUGCAGCAGUCUUUAAACGUGCUUAUCAACACACAUCACAAGAGAUCUUCAUCUCGUAUACCUAGAGACGCCACUCCACAACCUCAUUCUGCACCGCUCCUGCAUCUGUCAGCCAUUGAACCUGGCCAAGAGUCUUUCUAUAUUAUUCUCAAGAGAGUUUGAGUAAUCCCAGGACCGGAUAAGAAAUGCAACCUAUGUGUUUCAUGCACGUUAAAUGGUAGGAAACGUGUCUGCUUACAAAAUGCAACUAGUUCCUGUCCACUCAGGCUCCCUC